rnacentral:rRNA from 1 species
UACGUAGGGGGCAAGCGUUGUCCGGAUUUAUUGGGCGUAAAGAGCUCGUAGGUGGUUCGGUAAGUCGGAUGUGAAAUCUCCAGGCUCAACCUGGAGGGGUCAUUCGAUACUGCCGUGACGAGAGUUCGGUAGGGGAGUGUGGAAUUCCUGGUGUAGCAGUGAAAUGCGUAGAUAUCAGGAGGAACACCGAUGGCGAAGGCAGGUCUCUGGGCUGACACUGACGCUCAUGCACGAAAGCGUGGGGAGCAAACAGG